rnacentral:rRNA from 1 species
CUUGAUGCAUGUCUAGUAUAGCAAUUAUACCGCGAAACUGCGAAUGGCUCAUUAAAUCAGUUAUCGUUUAUUUGAUAGCACCUUACUACUUGGAUAACCGUGGUAAUUCUAGAGCUAAUACAUGCUGAAAAUCCCGACUUCGGAAGGGAUGUAUUUAUUAGAUUAAAAACCAAUGCCCUCCGGGGCUCACUGGUGAUUCAUGAUAACUUCUCGAAUCGCAUGGCCUUGCGCCGGCGAUGGUUCAUUCAAAUUUCUGCCCUAUCAACUUUCGACUGCUGGGUCUUGGCCAGCAAUGGUGACAACGGGUAACGGAGGGUUAGGGCUCGACCCCGGAGAAGGAGCCUGAGAAACGGCUACUACAUCCAAGGAAGGCAGCAGGCGCGCAAAUUACCCAAUCCCGACACGGGGAGGUAGUGACAAUAAAUACUGAUACAGGGCUCUUUUGGGUCUUGUAAUUGGAAUGAGUACAAUUUAAAUCCCUUAACGAGGAACAAUUGGAGGGCAAGUCUGGUGAAGAUGCUGGCGCCGGAGAUAGUAAGCCCGUUGAAUUACUAGUCGAGCAUUCGCCAUUGGCGGGAGAAUGCCGGCGAGACAACCCGGAUCGGGGGAGGUUACGGAGCUUCGGCUCUAUAUUAACCCCGGACAGAGCCGUCGUCUAUACGAUUUGGGCCUGUUUAGAGCGCGGAAGGGUGUCGGUCCCGUAUAUUCGGAUGCGUAAAAGCGUUUGAUUUCGGGGCUUAAGGGACGUGCCAACCCCCUGCGAAAGCAGGGUAUUGCCUCAAAGUGCCCGCCGCACAAUGAGGCGAUAGGUAUCUCAGCGAGAGAGCCGUACUGUAAAAAAUGGCCAGCAGCCGCGGUAAUUCCAGCUCCAAUAGCGUAUAUUAAAGUUGUUGCAGUUAAAAAGCUCGUAGUUGAACCUUGGGCCUGGCCGGCCGGUCCGCCUCACCGCGUGCACUGGUUCGGCCGGGCCUUUUCCUCUGGCGAGCCCCAUGCCCUUCACUGGGCGUGUGGGGGAACCAGGACUUUUACUUUGAAAAAAUUAGAGUGUUCAAAGCAGGCCUAUGCUCGAAUACAUUAGCAUGGAAUAAUAGAAUAGGACGUGCGGUUCUAUUUUGUUGGUUUCUAGGACCGCCGUAAUGAUUAAUAGGGACAGUCGGGGGCAUCAGUAUUCAAUUGUCAGAGGUGAAAUUCUUGGAUUUAUUGAAGACUAACUACUGCGAAAGCAUUUGCCAAGGAUGUUUUCAUUAAUCAGGAACGAAAGUUAGGGGAUCGAAGACGAUUAUCUGGUCGUCGAAAGCGCUGUAGUGACAGCUCUAGUCCGCCGUACGGCGGGCGACACCGUCAAAUUGCGGGGACAUCCUAAAGGCCUGUGCUACACCUAUUCGCUAGAAAUAGCGGGUAGCCGUAAAAACGCCAGGCAUGACGGGGCGCUAUGGUCCCCCUGAAAUGGACAAUCCGCAGCCAAGUCCUCUGGGCGUAGAGCCCGUGGAUGCAGUUCACAGACUAGACGGCGGUGGGGGCCUCCAGAAGGUCCUUAAGAUAUAGUCGGGCCAGUGCCGAGAGGCCGCUGGAAUUCAACGCAGAUACCGUCGUAGUCUUAACCAUAAACUAUGCCGACUAGGGAUCGGACGAUGUUAUUUUUUGACUCGUUCGGCACCUUACACGAAAGUACAAGUUUCUGGGUCUGGGGGAGUAGCGAGUUCAG